ensembl:lncRNA
ACAGUCCAAACAGAGUACAUACCAUCAUGAUUUGACUCAACCAUGAGAGACCAUAACAUCACAGUCCAAACAGAGUACAUACCAUCAUGAUUUGUUGAGCCACACCCAUCAUCCUCAGGCUGCCGUUUCAGCUCCAUCUCUGUCAGUGGUGUAGCUGUUAGGAUAACAGAACAAGUAUAUUUCAGUGUAAAACAGUCUUGUAUUAGCUGAAGUACAGAAUCAUUGUGAUAGCUACGAGUGUUCCAGGUUGAAUGAACAGUUCAGUGUAAAACUGUCUUGUAUUAGCUGAAGUACAGAAUCAUUGUGAUAGCUACGAGUGUUCCAGGUUGACUGAACAGUUCAGUCUGCUACAUCCUUCUCAAACAGUUCAUGGUUAUGAUAUUUCAGUUCAGUGUGGAACAGUCUUGUAUUAGCUGAAGUACAGAAUCAUUGUGAUAGCUACGAGUGUUCCAGGUUGACUGAGCAGUUCAGUCUGCUACAUCCUUCUCAAACAGUUCAUGUAUAUGAGGUUUCAUUAUAUAAUAUAAGAUAUUAAAACCAAAUAUUGAGUUUUACCUUCAGUCAUGGUUCUGUCCCUCUUUGCCAAUUUUUUGUCAAAUGUCACCAGCUCUUUCAGGUCCUCUGCCUGCGUUGAACCAGCUCUUUCAGCUCCUCUGCCUGCGUUGAACCAGCUCUUUCAGGUCCUCUGCCUGCGUUGAACCAGCUCUUUCAGCUCCUCUGCCUGCAUUGAACCAGCUCUUUCAGCUCCCUCUGCCUGCCUUGAACCAGCUCUUUCAGGUCCCCUGCCUGCGUUGAACCAGCUCUUUCAGGUCCCCUGCCUGCGUUGAACCAGCUCUUUCAGGUCCCCUGCCUGUGUUGAACCAGCUCUUUCAGGUCCUCUGCCUGCGUUGAACCAGCUCUUUCAGGUCCUCUGCCUGCGUUGAACCAGCUCUUUCAGGUCCUCUGCCUGUGUUGAACCAGCUCUUUCAGGUCCUCUGCCUGCGUUGAACCAGCUCUUUCAGGUCCUCUGCCUGCGUUGAACCAGCUCUUUCAGCUCCUCUGCCUGCGUUGAACCAGCAGUCUGAGUACUGAAGUUUUCUCACAAACAAAGAAAGGAAUAUCCUGUGCAUCUGGCAGAAUGGAGGGGAGGUUCCUGCUUCCCUGGAUUGUCUACAGUUCUGACAAACAUGGCCUGUGUCCCAAACGGUACCUUAUUCCCUUUAUAGUCUGCUACUGUAGAGCAGGGCCCUAGUGCACUAUAU